GUUAAAAAGCUCGUAGCCGACUCUCGGGGGCGGUUGCAACGGUCCGCAGAAAUGUGAGCACUGUCGUAGCCGCCUCUUCCUUCUGGACACGUUGUUUUCUCUUCACUGAGCGGGCAGCGGGGCCAGAUCGUUCACUUUGAACAAAUUAGAGUGUUCAAAGCAGGCCUCCGCCUGAAUACUUGAGCAUGGAAUGAUAUCAAUAGGUCCUCUUUCCUCGUUUAUUGGUGAUGAGGAGAGAGGAGAUGAGAAAGGGGAAUGGUUGGGGCCAUUCGUACUGCAGCGUUAGAGGCGAAAUUCUUGGAUCGCUGCAAGACGAACAACAGCGAAAGCAUUUGGCAAGAACGUUUCCACCGGUCAAGAACGAAAGUUAAGGGAUCGAAGACGAUCAGAUACCGUCGUAGUCUUAACCAUAAACUAUGCCGACUAGAGAUCGGUGGAUGUUAUUUUAUGACUCCAUCAGCAUCUUAUGAGAAAUCAAAGUCUUUGGGUUCCGGGGGGAGUAUGGUCGCAAGGCUGAAACUUAAAGGAAUUGACGGAAGGGCACCACCAGGAGUGGAGCCUGCGGCUUAAUUUGACUCAACACGGGGAAAACUUACC
rnacentral:rRNA from 1 species